rnacentral:rRNA from 1 species
UGGGGAAUAUUGCACAAUGGGCGAAAGCCUGAUGCAGCGACGCCGCGUGAGGGAUGACGGCCUUCGGGUUGUAAACCUCUUUCAGUAGGGACGAAGCGCAAGUGACGGUACCUGCAGAAGAAGCACCGGCUAACUACGUGCCAGCAGCCGCGGUAAUACGUAUGGUGCGAGCGUUUUCCGGAAUUACUGGGCGUAAAGAGCUCGUAGGCGGUUUGCCACGUCGUCUGUGAAAUCCUAGGGCUUAACCCUGGACGUGCAGGCGAUACGGGCUGACUUGAGUACUACAGGGGAGACUGGAAUUUCUGGUGUAGCGGUGGAAUGCACAGAUAUCAGGAAGAACACCGAUGGCGAAGGCAGGUCUCUGGGUAGUAACUGACGCUGAGGAGCGAAAGCAUGGGUAGCGAACAGG